rnacentral:rRNA from 1 species
UACGUAGGGUCCGAGCGUUGUCCGGAAUUAUUGGGCGUAAAGGGCUCGUAGGCGGUCUGUUGCGUCGGGAGUGAAAACUUACAGCUUAACUGUGAGCGUGCUUUCGAUACGGGCAGACUAGAGUACUGCAGGGGAGACUGGAAUUCCUGGUGUAGCGGUGGAAUGCGCAGAUAUCAGGAGGAACACCGGUGGCGAAGGCGGGUCUCUGGGCAGUAACUGACGCUGAGGAGCGAAAGCGUGGGGAGCGAACAGG